UCUUCCACACCAGGUGACACAUAUUCUUUUUCAAUUUGAAGUAUUGUAAUUAUUUCUACAUUUGCAGCUAUGCCUAUAAAUUAACAUAUGCAAAUUUAUUCUGUGUCCUUUUUUUUGGUCCUCUUUUUUGGUGGCAUAAUUAAUGAAGUGGCUCUCCUGAGUAAUUAUGAUGAUGCAGAUUUAAAGUGUUCAAAGCGCUUCACAAACAAUGUCUCAGUUAUCUAAUGAAUCUAAUUUUAUUUUAUUUUUAAAAAAUUACCUUUUCAGUUGAAAUAACUGGGGGGGGGGUGGGAAUCAUAGUAAGCAUCAUUUGUGAAAACAGCCUCAAAGAAACAUCCUGAUCCACUCAAAGCAGGCCCAGUGUGAAGGAUCUGAACAUACGGCACUUCUUCAAGCCAAGUGUCAGUUCCUUAACAUUCCUUAACAUUUGCCAUAUCUGUUUCUAAGAGAAGGCAGACAUUUUGCUAGGCGCAGCUGAGUGGGAUUCCUGCCCUGUACUGAGAGCACUGAAUUUAACCUUUCACUUUGGUUGCCAAGGCAAACUCUAAAAGAUCCUGCAACAUUUUCUGGCAAGCAGAUAAAAGAACUCCAGUGGCAUCGCCAAAAAGUCCACCCUUUCAUGGAUACAGUUUAUAACUAUUGUUGACUACAUGAACUUUUGCUGCGACUAUAGCAGCUAGUUGGAGUUAGGGACGAGCGAAUCCGACCUUUUUGGUUUCUCUCCUCUGUCACACCUUCCAUUCAUCCCAUUUCCUCAUCAAUCUGCGGUUCAUUUAUCUAUUUUAAAGACUGCAUGGAAAGCCAUAUGCAUUUUCCUGUGCAUAAUACAGUGGUACCUCAGGCUAAGCACUUACAGUAAUUUGUUCCGGAGGUCCGUUCUUAACCUGAAACUGUUCUUAACCUGAAGCACCACUUUAGCUAAUAGGGCCUCCUGCUGCCGCCACACGAUUUCUGUUCUCAUCCUGAAGCAAAGUUCUUAACCCGAGGUACUAUUUCUGGGUUAGUGGAGUCUGUAACCUGAAGCAUAUGUAACCCUAGGUACCACUGUACACAUUUUGAAAAGCCAUUUCCCCUAACAGAGUGCAUUUUUGUACGUUCUAAGGGAGCUAACAGAUCAGUUUUUACUAAUGCAUUUUAGUGCAAGUUUUCUAAUAUAGGCCAUGCACUUGGUGUGUUGGGGUGGAAAACUGCAUAGCAAAAUUCAGAUAAGUGCGAAUUUUGAAGGAAGAGCUGUGUUUCAAUCCAUGUACAGUGGUACCUCGGUUUACAAACUUAAUCCGUUCCAGAAGUCCGUUGUUAAACUGAAUCCAUUCUUAAAUUGAGGCGCUCCUUCCCUAAGGAGGCCUUCCACCAUUCGGAUUCCGUUCUUAGACCAAGGUAAAGUUCUCAAACCAAGACACUAUUUCCAGUUUUGCGGAGUUUGUAAGCCAAACUCUUAAAACCGUAUUGUUCUUAAACUGAGGUACCACUGUAUUGAAUCAUAGAAUCAUAAAGUUGAAUGGGACCCUGAGGAUCAACCCCCUGAAAUACAGGAAUUUGCAGCUGUCCCUUUUGUGGAUCAAACCUGUGACCUUGGGAGUUAUCAGCACCAACUGAGCUGCCCUUCAAUAUUUUGGUGCAGGAAGUGUGAAUCUUCUCUGUUUCAUUUCAGUUUUAGUAUAUGCACUACUGAAAUGAGCACAGAAGUGUGAAUUAGGUAGAUUUUCAAAUUAUAAUGUGAAGCAAACAAAUUCCUCUCCCCUCCCUGGUUGUGGUUGGUGAAUAAAGGCAAUACCACCAAACUGCAUUGGGCUGCAUGAUUUAGUUGCCACACACUUAACUUUUUUUAAAAAAAUCUGAUACUCUUGCUAGAAUUGCCUUCAUGUAAGGAAGCCUUUUCAGAGUUUGAAAAAUUAGAUAUGCAGCAGUUUUCUGUGUACUACAUAUUUCAUUCUAAGCCGCUCUUGUCAUCUUGAUCAACAGAUAUCUUACAAACACCAAAGAUUUCUGAUAAUAAACUAUGAAUUUUAACCAGAGGAUAUGGGCAAAAUUCAACAUUAAUCCUACUCAGAUUAGACCCAUUGAAAUAAAUAGACUUGCAACUAAUUUCGGCACGUUAAUUUCAAUAGUUUACUCUGAGUAGAACUUCUGGCUACAACCCUAUUGUUUUUAUGUGGCAGAAAUAAUAUCAGUCAGAAAAGAUAAUCUAAUAUUGCUGCAGCACGUGAACCUUGGCAAGAGGAGGCAAAGUCAAUUCAUUCUUUUGAAGCAGCGUAAUUGAUGGUUUUCCCUAUAUCCUACUUGUAGUAUUGUACCUGGGUAUUUACCAUGUUUUGUAUGGUAAAUGGGUAUGGUGUGUUGCAUUUUCUCUUUUAAAGUUUGUUGCUUUUUACACCACACAUGUAAAAGACAUCGCCUUAGGAAUCUUACAGCAAACUUCCUUGUUGAAGUGAAUACUUUAACUAUUAGGGAACCUUUCCUCCCCUGCAAUCCUCCUCAGUAAGGAUCAUACACUCACUGAGAAAGAAGAAAGAGGGGUUUGGACCUCAUGAACCAGCCAGGCACGUGUUUUUAAUUACCUCUCUCUAUCCAGGCUCCAGUUUGUAGAAUGAACUGGUUGGACGCUGUUAAUGGGGUGUGGACUUCUUUGUUGUUGCUGAAAGUACUUUUACAGAGUUUGGUUUGCAAAGUUCCCAAAUGCCAAUACUUUUAAGAAAAACAAAACUAUCGCCCGUGUGAACAAUAUGCCCAGUGGUUCCAGAAGCCAGCGGUUUGUCUCUUUCCUAGCCAAAGUGUUUUAUGCGCUUACACAGGGAGGGGGUGUGGAUAAGGAAUAAGCACAUAAAUUGCCCCUGGAAGCAAUUUCUUCCAUGGCUAUCUUUAUCUGUCUUAUCUAUUCCUAAAGGGACAGAAUAUAUAGAUUCUAAUCAGGCCUGCCUGUUCGUGUCAGGCAUUUCAACAAGGCCGGAGGGGGAAAGAGAGACUCUGCCUCCUCGCAUCCAGAACUUUGCCUUUGUGUACAGAACAUUCCCUAAAGGGAAAUCUCCUUCACUUCCUCAGAUCAGAGCGGGGAAUAUUGAUAUGCAUGGUCGGACUCUGUAGGUCUGCAUUUUGAAAACGGACCACUGGCGAGAGAAAGAGAGACAGAGAGAUGUAUGGCCCAAUUUUCACACAACCAAGUGUUUCCUGCUGCGUUGUUUUAAAACUGCAGAUGUGUGACUGUCUAAACAGAUAGCCUUUUAAGGGUUUUGCCAAUAAUCUGUAGAUGGAGUUGAUUUGCUUGCAAAGUCCCCAAGGAUUGGAGAAGAAUCAAACUAUUUCAAAUAUGAAUUUCUGAGGCCAGUUUCCUAAACAGGCAUGUGGAGAGGGGUGAUCCAGCAGUAGGGGUAUAUUUGAACUCCCUCACCGAACGUUCCUGAGAUAACUUUGCAGUAAUAGGAUAAAAGGACUGUCCCGCCUUUGGUUCUGUGACUGUUAAGAGAACAGGAAACAGAGAGGAGGAAUAAAUGGACAAUUCUCACAAAGGAGGGAAUAAAAAAGUAGGGUCUCCCCCAAAAACAUUAUUUAAACAUUCAUAAAUGAUUCCUUGUGGACCAGAUUCGUUCCCCUCUCACAGGGACAGGGCGGCCCGGCCUGUUUCGCCACCUGAGGAAAAAUGAGAAUUGCUGCCUACUUCUGCACCCCACUUCUGAAGCCAUGACAUCCCAACUCUUGUGGAACUCAGCAAAAGUUGGGGUGUUCCUCAAAGUGUUACUUCUCAGCUUUUCCCCCCCACAAGUGGGCAGAGGAUACAAGUAGCAUACAAGAACACCCCAGCUCUUGCUGAACUUAGUGAUGUUUUCUGCUCUGAUUCUUUGCCCUGUGUGGGGGGGGGAGAUGAGUGCCUUCACAGGUAUGGCUUGGAUCUAGCACACCACCCUUCUGUAACCAGAAGGGUUCUUUCCGUCUGCGCAUGGAGCUUACAUCCAGUGGAGUCUCAUGGAAAAGGGCAGUGGAAGGACGAUUUUCACCCAUUCUUCUCACAGCUUGCUAUGAUUCUGUGCCAACCACUGCCACUGUUCUGAAGGGUCCUUCAAACCUCUGGAGAGAAUUUUCAAGAGUACUAAGGGGCUGCAGGGAGAAAGGGGGAGGGGGCGGAAUCACCAAAAAUCACCUCUUCUCUCCUUUUUGUGAGCAGAACUCAAGGCAUCUGGUUCUAGUACAGGGGCAACAGCAGAAGAUGUUGAGAUUUCUGUUCCACCUUAAGGAACAGACAUGGGAUUGUUACACGUCACAUGUCUGUUUACAUUCCAGCACAGCUUGCUGGGAACUUCCGUUGUGUAUAGCUUUUGCUUUUCCCUGUUCUGAGAAGAGAGAACAGUUCUGAGUCUGAGACGGGGAGAGAGAGAGACAACAUGUUUCUUUGUCCUGAUUUAUGAUUAAUAAAUCUGUAGUUGUAGUAUGCUUCCACAAGCCUCACACCUAUUCUGUGUGCGCAGUUCGCUCUGCUGAUAGUGUGCCCUGGCUUUGAAGCCCGGGUCGCUGAUUUACAUCAGAGCAGACUGAAGUGGGAAGACUGGAAGGAGACGGCCCAGCUGGGGCUAGCCAGCUGGCCUUCCGACCCUCUGCAUGCCAACAGAAAAUGCCUAUUUUCGGGUCACCACCCUACGAUAUUCUGUAGGGUUCAGUAGUGCCAUGGUUGGAAGACCCCCAAAUGAUCUAAGUGUCUGUACGGGGCAGGUAGUCUCUGUUACUUACUUAGGACUAGCAGAAAUCUGCACAAUGAGCCAUAACAGGGCUUUCCCCCUUCUAACACCAUUGGCUCUGGCGGUUGGGAGAGCCCCAAUAACAGUAUAUAGGGGGAAGGAGAGGGGAGGGUGUUCCAUAUGACUACAUUCAAGCCAAUCAGAAGUCAGAGGCUUCUAUACUCCCUGCUUCUUCUUCCUUUAUAAUCACUUCAUCUUCCAUCCACCCAUCCAAGCAAGCAAGAGGCAUUAUUGUCAUUCAUUAUCACAUUCCAGUGGCGCAUGCAUCAAGGACUAUUGAUUGAUACCUGGCACAAUCGUGUGUGGUCAGUUGCAUUAGCUGAGAAACUCACUUGUCAGAUUAGAGCAGCUAAGAUAUGUAACACUUUCUAUGCAGUCUGGCACCUUUGUACAAAGGGAGAACCCCAGUCACACAGCAAUCACUGGAGAGAUUUGUUGGGUGAUCGAUCAAAUAUUUUAUGCAUGCCAUUCUUGGGCAUAAGACAAAACACGUGUUGGACUUUCAUUCUAAUACUUGUUACAAAGGUUGGAUUUGCACUCAUGCAAGCUUCAAUUGAAAACAACAACACAACAUUCCAGCCAGGCAAGAGCACUUGAGGAGACACAGACCAAGACUGUGUUAAAGAUAUGAGUUUAAUGUAAAUAUAUAAAUGCAGCAAAGUAAAGGUGGAAGUUUCCAUUCAGUUUAAUUGAUGACUCAUCCCAGAACCCUGAGCUGCAAUCUCUCUGUCAGCAGAAUAUGAAACCUGAGAACUCAGCAUCCAAGUCCAAGCUCAGCAAUGUGGAUAUAAGCAACUUGCUUGUAUAGGAUCUCUCUCUGGGACCAGAGAGAGGAAAGUUAUUGAACUUCAUAAAGGACUUAAAGACGAGAAGGCCGCAUUGCUUUCUGUUUAAGAGCCAUGUGUUACUUUGUAUUCUGCAAUGUUUACUUGUAACUAUUUUAAGACCAUUCUGCAAUAAAGCUUUGGAACUC
rnacentral:lncRNA from 1 species